CCUACGGGGGGCAGCAGUGGGGAAUAUUGGACAAUGGGCGAAAGCCUGAUCCAGCCAUGCCGCGUGUGUGAAGAAGGCCUUCGGGUUGUAAAGCACUUUCAGUGGGGAAGAAAGCCUUGGGGCUAAUACCCUCGAGGAAGGACAUCACCCACAGAAGAAGCACCGGCUAACUCCGUGCCAGCAGCCGCGGUAAUACGGAGGGUGCGAGCGUUAAUCGGAAUUACUGGGCGUAAAGCGCGCGUAGGCGGUCUGAUAAGCCGGUUGUGAAAGCCCCGGGCUCAACCUGGGAACGGCAUCCGGAACUGUCAGGCUAGAGUGCAGGAGAGGAAGGUAGAAUUCCCGGUGUAGCGGUGAAAUGCGUAGAGAUCGGGAGGAAUACCAGUGGCGAAGGCGGCCUUCUGGACUGACACUGACGCUGAGGUGCGAAAGCGUGGGUAGCAAACAGGAUUAGAUACCGAGUAGUC
rnacentral:rRNA from 1 species